rnacentral:rRNA from 1 species
AUGUGCGAAAGCGUGGGGAGCAAACAGGAUUAGAUACCCUGGUAGUCCACGCUGUAAACGCUGUCGAUUUGGGGAUUGGGCUUUAUGUUUGGUGCCCGUAGCUAACGUGAUAAAUCGACCGCCUGGGGAGUACGGCCGCAAGGUUAAAACUCAAAUGAAUUGACGGGGGCCCGCACAAGCGGUGGAGCAUGUGGUUUAAUUCGAUGCAACGCGAAGAACCUUACCUACUCUUGACAUCCUAAGAAGAACUCAGAGAUGAGUU